GCUCUGCCUCAGCUCGGACAUAAUUUGUUUGUGGUUGUCAGAUAAACGUCAAAUCUGUUAUCUGUCAUUGCCAGCUGAUGCAUUGUUUACUUUUCGCGCACAAUUUCAAGGUCUUCACAUCAUAGACUCGUUCAGGCUAACCUGUGGGCUAACAUACGACGGUGAAAAAUGUGGAUCCUUAUCUUAUACAUCAAUGUGAAUGAAAUGUUUUAGAUUCUCACUGCAUGGAGGACUUGUUGGCAUGCAUGCCGUACGAUACGGCGAAUAGGGUAAAUUUUUUGGAAUGCAUGCAAUGUGAAAUCCACAUGGACUACAGGGUCCACCGGCUUGUAUAAAGCCAAGUGUUGAAUAUGGUUGAGUUGAGACUGGUAGAAGAGUUUGUGAAUAUGCUGGAGUUUUUUUACAUUUGCUACAAAGUGCUGAACAAUACAUCUCUGUAUCUUUGCCACUGUUCUAGUAAAAUGGAAUAAUUGAAAUAGACAGGAAUUCUGAUAUUCAAUCUUUCACGUGGAUAAAAUGAAUUAAUAUUUCUUACCAAUUUCGAAAUGAUCCCACCGUGAUUGGUUCCUACUUGUAAUCAAGUAUAUGAAAAAUUUAAGUUCUACUAAACCUGAUCCUACAAAUUAUUGGUUAAUUGAACAUGAUUUUGGAUUUUGGGACAAUUGAGAAGCAGAAUAACAAAUUCUUCCCAUUCACUUUUUAUUUUUCACAUUCAACUUCAUUUCAAACAGAGCAAAUAGGAAAAUUUCUGCUUUCGGCUCAAAUAUUUAACAAAAUUCAAGCAGUGACUAAGUCUGGCAAGUUUUUGGUCUUAUUCUAUGUGUCUUUUUACACGAAAUCUUCCCAAUGUGUAACAAAAAUUCUUCUCAUAAAAAUUCCUGUUGGAAUGAAAUGGAGGAACUCAAGUACUUGAUUUGCGCCAUUGAUUGCUGGUUUGUACUAGAUAAUUGUGAUAUCCAUCAGGUCAAGAGAUUUAUGCUAACUAUUUAUACAAUGCGAAAAUAGUUCACUAAUUAAUUUUCAGUAAAUGUGAGCAUGUGCCACCACCACCGUCCUGUUCAAUCAUGUUACCUCCUCGCAUAAAA